rnacentral:lncRNA from 1 species
CAAAAGGAUGCAGGGAGGCUGCUGAUUUCCACUGAAGAGCUAAUUUCCUGUGAGACAUUAACAGUGAUUUAAGAAAAAGAUUCCUGUAACUGGUAAAUGAAUUUCAUUUGCUUAACUUUUAGAUGAUAUGUUUCAGGCAAAAAAAAAGUUGUGCACCCACUUAUCUCUUUAAAGCGGAGGAUGAAAAGCAUUGAAUAGGUAGGAUUCUUAAUGUCUGAGAUGAAGGCGAUGUAGGAGGCAAACAAUACGGUUAAAAAUGUUGAGUCGACCCAAACAGAAAGACCAGGUUUCAAUCCAGACUCUGCGGCUUACUGAGAAUAUGAUCUUGAGUAAACUGCUUGACCUUCCUGAGCCUCAGCUUUCUUAGUUGUUAAAUGGACUUUAACAAUACUAAUCUGUUAGGACUGUGGUGAGGAUGAAAUCAGGGAAAUCAGUCACAGCAGUGCUCUCCUGGCACAGGUAAGGAAACUGAGGUAUACAAGGAUGAACUUUUGCAAGGCUACAAAUCUUGUUAAUAGUGAAGCUAACGUUCAGACCCAAGUGGUUCGGCUCUAGACUUUGUCUCAGUUACUGAAUUGAACUCUCUGUGCACUUACGAUGUGUCAUACCAGUUCUCACUACAUAGUGUCCCAAAAGAUUGGGCCUGCUCUUUCUUUCAGAGACAAUUAGGAAAAAAGUAAACAAACGGAGCAGGAUUUGGGCAUAACAGCAUGCUCCUCCCAUCCCCCAAAUCCCAGGAGUGUCACUGAGGUCAGUGCCAGUUAACUUAGUGCUCUUCAACUUCACAGCUACCCUUCUUUGCCCUAAAUUGUGACAUUAGAGCUGAAAUCUGUAAACGUCUUUAUGGUCAGUUGGCACAGUGUUUAGCUUUGUCAAUAGAAGGUGCUAGGGGAACACUGCAGAAAGAAAGGGGCUCCUUUUCUUGGUUCCAGUGCUUUCCUGCUUGCUCCUACGGUGUGGUGGCCAGUGAGUGACUUUCUGACCAGUGGUGUGCAAGAAGGCCAUGUUACAUAAUCUUCAGUAAAUUUGGCCAGUUCCCUAGUAUGUGUCUUUCUAUGGAGUACCACUGGCAUGUCAGUGGAAUGGCUUCCUAGCAAGUUUUACUGAAAACACAGCUGAUGGUUUCCUCAGCAGCCCAGUGUGUGACACCUUAAAUUUCUGGAUCAUUAAGUGGACCACAGCCAUAUUAUUUCCAAUGAGCGCCUACUUUCAGGCUUAGUAGGGUGGAGGGUGGGUAGGGGGAAGUUCUACUCAGUUAUUCCCUCCUUGGGUACUCUCCUAGAGCCUGAGAGAUAGUGGCUGUUCCCAAUAACCACUAUUACUGUAUUCUUUAGUGGGAUUUUUUCCUGUCCUAAUAGUCAAUACCCUUUGACUGGAUCUUAACUGAUAAAAGUGGAACCCUGAGGAAAGCACUAUCCUUGGAGUCAGAAAUUGGGAUCAGAUUUUUUUUCUUUCUCUUAUGGUAUUCCUCAUAUUCGCUUAAUUUCUCCACUGCCUUUACCCUUUUUGGAUUUGAUGCUAUGUCAAGAAAAAAUUAUUUCAUCACUGAGCACUCUGAGUGUAGAGCAGAGUGCUAAAUAUUGCAUGCUAUUCCAGAAGAAAAAUAGUUUAGGAAUCCUAAAAGCCAAAGAAAGAAAGAUAUGAAUGCAUUCAGUUCUUAGAAGAGUUCUAUGAGAUAGAUGCUUGUGGCAGACAUAGUCUCCACCCAGAUCUCCUAGGAUCCCUUUGGUUGAAUCUGAGUAUCCUUCCUCUAGCUUCUGUGUUCUUUUACUUCUCACAGCCUGCCCCGAGAAUCUCUUUGGAGGAAGGCCCAAACACUACUAGACUCACUUUGUGUACUGGCAUAGAGAGCCAGACAGAACCACCUGCAAGUUUACUUCUUUCCCAGGAUACCCUUUGCCAAGGACUUUCCUAUAGAGUAUAAAAGACCAGCCGUCUUGCCUCUAGUAGCAAGAAAACCUGAGGUGUAAUUUACACCCUGAGGCUCCCCUAUAGAAUUAUAUUGAUGUUAAUAUUUUGCCUGAAACCACCUUCUUCCCUAUCUUGCUUACUGUGGUACCUGAUGAGUUUUUCUUGGUAGCAUUUCUAUAAUAAAUCACUUGCAGACAAUCUUCAUCUCAGGGUUUGAUCCUGGGGAUCCUGACUUAAGACAUUGCUAUUCUUUUUUUUUUUUCUUUUACAGAUGAGGAAACUGAGGAUCAGGGCUUUUAAAUUGCCCCAAAUCACACUACUAAUAAGAGAUAGAGUUGUGGUACCUUUUUUAGAGGGACCAUUAUUCUGCUGACUGCAGUACUGUAGAGCAUAAAGUUUCUUAUCCACACUGUUUCUUAGUUCAGUCUGUCAAUAUCACUACUCCACGAUUAUUGUUGUUUGUUUUUCUUUCUCCCUGUCUUUUACCUCAAAAAUCUCUAUUGUGAUGCCAGAGAGACCUUUCUGAAACCUCUCCUUUUUUCUGUGUUUAAAACCCCCCAGUGCCGCCCAUGAAAUACACAGCAAAGUCCAAACUCCUUAUCUUGCUUGGAUCCUCCUUUCCACCCUUUUUAACUGUUCAGCCAUAUUUCUCCAUGUACUUCUGAGAUUGGAACCCAGGGCAACAAAGCUAAUGUGGGUUCUCCAAGAUUAACACAACUGAAAGGAGGCCCCUUUAUGCCAUCUAUUCUAGGUCCCUUGGAAUAUAAUUAAAAACAGGAAUUUCAACAUUGAAAUGUAAUGAUGUUCAGGUAAGGGCAGUAAGGUACAUUGACUUGAGUCAAUCUCCCACCAUGUCUGGGGACUGGGACAGCUGAGCCAGGGGUCCUACCUAAGGGUCAGGCCUGUGUCUUCACUUCUCCUUUCAACCCUUUACUUCUUCCAGAGUUGAACGGCUUACUUUCCUUCUCUCACUAGGCCAUUUCAUGGCUUGUGUUUGCCUGAAAUACAACUCUUUCCCUCCCUGGUCUACACCUGCUCACCCUGAAAGAAAUACCUCUGAGCCCACUUUCUUUCUUGGAAGCAUUUUAUGACUCUUAUUUCUGUUAUCAACACAGCUUUUAUUUAUGUCUCCAUGUAUCCUUUGAAGAAACACAACUUUUCAGGUUCUAUGUUUUAUUUGCAUUCUUAGUGUCUGGCACAUUGUCUGACACAGUGUAAAAGCUGAGUAGAAUUUUGCCUGAUAGCAGAUGUGCCUGAAGUGAGGGUGUCCAAAAUUUCAUUAAAUGACGACUGCUUUAAUAUGAAUUCUUGGCUAAGGCAGGAGAAUCGCUUGAACCCAGGAGGCAGAGGUUGCAGUGAGCCGAGAUCACACCACUGCACUCCAGCCUGUAAUGUCUUACAAUAACAGAAUGCAGGAGAGCACAUAUCAAUGAAGAAAAGACAAAAUGUACUUAUCCAUGAAGCUGAGGUUAAGAAACCAGUGUCUUCAAGAGCCAGGGACAGCACUGGGUCUGUGCAGAGUUGAGAGAUGGUGAUGACAUGUGGUUUCCAGCAUUCCUCACCCAGUCCAGGGACACUGUGGGUGUGCCCAGCUUAAGUCCAGUAACUGGAAAUACAAGCCCAAGUUCUGGAGAGUUUGAGCUGCAGAGAUAUAUAUGGGAACACUUUGAAUCUUGACUCAUUGGCCAUAACCAGCAGAGUGGAAAAUACAAGAAGAGAAAAAAACAUUGAACUGCGAUUUUAUAACAUCCUUUACUAGGCAGAGAGAAGAGGAAACACCAGGAAAGAAAACUGUAUUACGAUGUGAAAACUUAAUGUUGAGAAAUUCAGGCAUCUUGGGGUUAGUGAGGAGAAGUUUUAGGGGCUUAGAUUCUUCUAAACACAUGUACAGAAAUGCAUAUUUCAUCUGAUAUCAAAUGGCAUUUAUAGUGCUAAUCUUUACCUCAAGACUUCACAUCUUUUGGUGAUUGCAUCUUUUAGGUUUAUAGCAGCUAAGUUUGCAUGAAAACACCAGGGCUGUUUCAUUUCAGUCAAGAAUUAAUGUUCAUUGAUUGUGCUUCUGCAUUUCAUGUAACUAUUGUAGAAUUUGUUUUAGUUUUAUGAGGGAAUAAUUGUUCCAACUUCUAUAUAACUCAGGAAUUUACUCUCAAACAACACUGUCAAUUAGUUACUUAUCUCUCUGGAAAUGAUCUGGGAACAUGGAGAGGAAAGGGAGGAAGGGGCAAAAUCUGACCACUUAAAUCUAAGCAUAUUAGAUCAUUUUAUGCUAGAAAGUCCUGAAUGAUGUGACUUUCGUUCUUGUAAAACACCUCUUUCCAUAGAUUCAUGGCCCAAACAGUAUAUAAAGAGUGGGGAAGGAACUGCAUUUGCAAAUAGUUCAAAUCAUUGCUCCAUCUUAACUACGCAGUUCACAAAGUGUGAAGAAAUGUGAUCAUCUCAAAAAAGAUAAUGGGGAAAAAAUAUGUUUUGUUCUGUGACUUUAAAGUCUUGCAAUAUUUUACAUAAAUGAUAAUGGGUGCUUUAAUAAGAACUCUUGAUACUUUUGUUAUUGUAUUCAAUAUAUGCAUAUAAUACAACAGGAUGAUAUUGUUUUGGAUUUGGAAAUGUAUUCUUUCUUAUGCAAUCUUAUGCAGUCAUACUGCUUGAAUAUCAUUACCUGAAUUUAUCUUUCUUUUUUUUGUUGUUGUUUUACACUCUACUUAUUUGGUGCCUGUCAGUCUUUUGUCGUCAGUUUAUAUUCUACUAAACUCAAAAAGACAAUCUCAUACCUUUUGUAAUUGUAGGCAUUCUUUACUAGAUUUUUAAAUACACUUCAAAAAUUCAAGUACUUUGAUUUCAUGCCAUCAAGUAGCUGAAUCUAUCCCCCCGUCUCUUUUUAAAUUUAAGUGAGUAGUUCAAUUUCUGUCACUUUCUACUUUGUGAAUUCUAAAUCUUUUAAAACCAUCUUGCCAUUUUUCGUGCACUUACCCUUACAGAAAACUCUGUGAAACACUACUUAUCUCUACUUUUAUGUUUUUAACUCCUUUUUUAUAUUACUAUUCCCUCUGCUUUCUAAAUGCACAUAUUAAUUUGUUCUUUUUAUUCUCUGUAGCUCUUCUCAGUGUAUGAAUUCAGUUUCCCAUCAGUCUCCAUACAAUUAAAAAAAAGUUGAGUAUUCUGUUAUUUUAAUAAGAUAUCUAGUGCCCAUAUUCUAAUUCUGCCCCUUAUUUUUAAUAUAAUUUUAUUGUUGAUUUAAAAUGACAACAGUUUCAAUUCCCAGAAAGUGAAAGGAAACAAAGGAAUAAUAUUAUAGGCUUAAUUUUUAUCAGUGAACUUGUAGGUGAAGAAAAGAUUUGGGGAAGGAAAUGAACAUAUUAUAUUGCAAAAUAGUAAGGAACAAUCAGAUGUGUUUUCUAGUCUCUGGAAAAGCAUGUUUCAAGAAAUUCAAUGAAAAGUUCAUCAUGCUUGCUUAGAUUGUUGAGAAGCAAAAACACUGAUGAACAUUUGGAAGCAAUGAGAAUGUAAUUCUAAUCAUACUCUUUUAAUAAUGUUGCAAAACUCUCCAAACACUACUCUGUGUGGAUGUCUUUCAGAAUAUGAUGAAUACUAGUAGUCUUAUUCUGCCCUUUUCUCUCUAUCACAAUAUAUACAUUCUAUAUUGCAUACACAUAUUUUCCAAAUAUUACAUAUAAUUUCAUGUAAUUUAUAGACCUAUUAAGGCCCAACCAUUUUCUUGGAUAGGGGAUUCUUUAGAAGUCCAGCUUAAAUAAAGCCCGUAUAGAAAGUUUUUUUAAAAUUUAUACAUAAUCACCUAAAGUAACCUUAUCUACUGAACUCUUAGUACAUGCUACUGGAACCUUUUAUCAUGUUUCUUCCUGGCUUGCAUUACAACACUGUUGACAUAUCUCAGCCUUACUUCUAGGCUUCUUUGAGAGCAUGACUCAUGUUUGUAUUCCUCACUGAGGUUGAAUGAAUAAGAGAAACUACAGUAGUAGGAAAAAACAGUACAUGUACAUAUCAAUGAAUAUGAAAGGGUCAAAUGGAUCUAUUAUAGUAAGCACAAAAUCAACUGACACCAGCAAAGUAAACCCAAAAUUUUUAAUGGUAUUUUAAUAGAUCAAGAGGAGCAAGCAGAUUUUUGAGACAGUUGUCUCCUACUUUCUCUAUCACAGGGAGUAAUUUUAAAAGAAAAAUGGAGGGUAAGUUUCUUUAAGAGAAAAUUGUAGUUUAAAACAGGUCAUGGGAUAAUUAGAAAUAAUUUAAUUUCUUUAGAGGAUUUUAAUCUUUCAACUGCUUGCAAUUAGAUCCUAAGGCAAUAAAAGAAUAAGGAGAUUUGGAAAACCAUUGUCUGUAAUCUCUGAAGAAAAGUGGACAUUAGGGGAGUCAGUUGAAAAGCAAAGCUAUCACCAUUUUCUAAAGAGGAAAAAGGUGAACCUCACAAACUAUAGACCAAAAAAAUAGGACAUCGAGAGAAAGAAUAUGAAGCUAGCAUAGGUUCACAAAGAAUGAGUCAAAUCAAACAACAUGCAUUUUUUAUUUAUAAAGCAUGACUUGUUCAUUGUCAAUUCAUGUUAGCUUAAUCAUUAGGCAUUAAUGCCAUCACUGCAAUGCAUAUGUCAGCAAUAAAUAAUCAAAGACCAGGCUUCCAUCAUUCUGUUUAAUAUCUUCAAGUAAUGCUUAAGUUUGCAAAUGCUCUUUUAACACAUUCUCCAUAUGCAGCCUGCCCAGCACUGCACACAAUAGACCUGUUACUUCCCCCUCACGAGCACUCCUAAUAUUUCAUGUGCUCAUCCAAUUGACUUCUCCCACUGGUGCCUCAUAUUGAAUUUGUAGAAUCACACCUGCUCCUUUUUCAAAACUCUUCUGAGUUUUUUCUUAAAUAAUUCACUGACCCCAAAGUUGUCAGAUAUUUGAAGACUACUCGCACAAUUUUAAUAUUAUAAAUGUAUAAUGUAAAUGUAAUUAAGAUUUGUAUAAUGUACGAUGUACUUUGGUAAAUAAAAGUAUGCUGUGAAUAAAUACGUAUGAUACAAUUCAAAAUUUUACAUAAAUAUGUGAUAAAAUUUAGCUCAUAUUCUUUUUUUUUUUCUUUGAGACGGAGUCUCACUCUGUUGCACCCAGGCUAGAGUGCAGCAGCAUGAUCUCAGCUCACUGCAACCUCUACCUCCUGGGUUCAAACAAUUCUCCUGCCUCAGCCUCCUGAGUAGCUGGGAUUACAGGUGCCCGCCACCAUGCCCAGCUAAUUUUUUUCUAUUUUUGUUGUUGUUGUUGUUUUUAGUAGAGACGGGGUUUCACCAUGUUGGUCAGGCUGGUCUUGAACUCCUGACCUCAGAUAAUCCACCUGCCUCGGCCUCCCAAAGUUCUGGGAUUACAGACGUGAACCACGGUGCCCGGCCUAGUUCAUGUUCUUUAAGGACAAUUAUGAAUAUUUUUAUGCACUGUUAAUUUUCAUUAAGAUAUUGAUCAAUUAAUAGCUAUAUAUGUUCUAUAAAUUAAUCCUAUCUAGUUUCAAUCUUAAAUUGUUUGCAUAUACCAAUCUAGUUUAUUGUUUGCAUAUAUUUUAUAGUGUAGAGAUUAGGCAUUUUAAUAAAAUUUUAAAAUUUCCAGGACAUACUGUUAAUGACUAUGCUUCCUACUAUAGGCCAUAAUUAAUUUUUUUCUAUUGUCAACAAUAUUUUGGUAGGGAUGAUCAGGAAAUAAGGAAAUGUUUCCUUCAUUUGUUAACAAUAGGUGUUUGGGGAUUUUAAAAUGAAAAUUGAAGAAGUAAAAGACACCAUAUAUUUAGUUUGUUUGAUUUCGUGGCUUCAAGAGUUCAAUAAUUUAUUGAAAUAUUUUACAGACCAAAGAACAACAGAUAUAUUACGUUUAUAAGCCCCCACAUAUUUUAAAGGAUAAUGGUUUAUAUAUGAAAAUUCCCUGAACCUACACUUCAUCAGGAAAAGCUAAAUAAAAGAAGUUUACAUUUCCUAGGACUAAUGGAGAUUUAUUUCCCAGUCCUCUUCUCUGGAGACAAAUGUAGGUCUCUCUUGAAAAGCAGAAAGUUUUGCAUAUGAGGUAUGAUUUAGUGGGCUAGAAACAUCUUUUCCACCCUCCCCAAAAUGUUUCACUAUGUUUUAUCAUACUAUCUGAUAAUUUUGCACUAAAGUUUUCUUUCUGUGUUAAGAAAAUGCAAAUAUCUCUGAAUGGGUCUCUUUGCUUUAGUCAUACUCAUAUGGCUACUACUGAACAAAAUAUGUUCAUUACAGGAUGAAGGGAAUGUUGCCAGCCAGCAAAUCCCUAGAGUUUGCACUACACCAAACGUUGCUUAGCAAUUUCCACGAUUUUCUCAGUCUAAUUUGCAAGAAUCAAGGAGAUGUUUGUGUAUGCUACAUGAAGUUGUAAAAUUGGUAUUUAUUGUAUGUUUCUAUAUCGAAAGCUUUACAAACAAAGGAAAUGGAAAGUUAACAGGUGGAUAUGAUAGUGUGGCACUACUUUAGCUGGAUGGUAAGGGAGAGCUUCUCUUAGGAAGUGUUUUAGGCCAGGACUUGAAUAAUGAACAGUAUCUAGUUGUACAAAAAUCUGGAGGAAAGACUUUUCAGGCCCAGGAGAAAUGAAAAUUCUUUUCAUGCAUACAAGAAUGAAAGUGAAAAUUACCUACUCUAUGUCCUGAAGUGGGAAGUUGGCUUGCCAGAGAGUAGGUAAUUUUCACUUUGAUUCUUUCAUGCCUUCAGUUAUACUACUUCUUAGGUUAGUUCAUAAGGGUUUCCACAAUUUGGUUCCCACUUAAAAUUUAAAACUUCCCUAACCCAUUCCCACCAUAUAUUGUGCUAAUCCAUGCAUAUGUGACUUUGCGUAUGCUGUUUUCAUUGUUUAAUAUUCUUCUCAUGCAUUCGUUCUUUCCUGAUAACGAACUCAUCUUUGAAACUCCCCUUCAAGCAUCCUCUACUUUAGGAGGCCGCUUCUCACUGUCUCCUGCCUACCACCCAUUGAAUUGUUCAAUUUUUAAGCUGCCAUUGUCUUGUGCAGUUGACACAUUUCUUUGCAAUUACUGAUUUACAUGUCUGCUUUUAUCACUGGUGAGGUUCUUUAGGACAGAGACAUUAUUAAUUCAUCUCUGGGCACAUAUGUUCCAACAUAUUAGAAGUACUACAGAGUGCUAUUACUAUGUAGUAUGUAGUAUUAGUAGUAGUUACUCACAAAUCAUUUUUAAAUAAGUGAUUAUAAUAUCUUUUUGUUAUUAUGAUUUAACACAAGAUGGAAUUUAUUUUCAGAAGUUUCCAUGAUAUAUUUGUUCUAUUUAAAAUCCAAUAGCCAUUAGAAUAUUACCAUUAUUUAAUGUAAAACAAUAAAAUAUUAAAUAUGAUCGUUCAUAUUUAAUGCAAACCGAACUCAUGGAAAUAUUGUGUAAAGAUCAAGUAAUUUUUGACAUACAAUUUUAAACUCAACUUUUCAUAUAGCAUACCUUAUGAUAUAUUUUCAGCCUACUUUUAAAUAUGUUGGCAUUGAAAGCCAGUUACUAAUUCGCUGAAUUCAUGAUUUCUUUUUAAGUUAUAGAAGUGGAAUUAUGUUUGAGAUAUUCAUUGCAUUACAUUUACCAGAACUUGAGUUCUUAACAUGGAACCUGAGAGUUUCUCCAAUUCUUAAGUCCCUGGGAGAAAUAGAUUAGCUGGAUGAGGAACUGAGAGGAAAAAUGGUCAGAGAUGUAGCAAGAGUUGGGAAGAAGGAACAAUGAUUUGCUUUCAAGGAGAUUUUUUCAUUGGUCUGUUUUCAGUGACAAACCCACUGCGAUAAUACAUGUAAAGUGAAAACAUUCAGGAAGUUCCCUUAGAAACCUCUUUUCUGGCAGUUCCUAAUUCUACAACAUUGUAUAAGUGAAAUACCAUAGUUACUGUCAUAGUAAAUUGAGCCAAGAGAAACAAGGGAGCAGGAGAAGAAAAGAAUUAAAGAGAGUUUUGUCUUUCAGUCUUCACUCUGUUUCUUCUUGCUUUUACCAGUCAUUCAGGUUUAUAUAAUUUCUUUAGAGAGGCUUCUACUAUGCAGGUCUUCCUUAAAGUCAUUGGUAUUACCUGGCAUGAUAUGUGAGCCUUUAAUAUCAGUCCCUUUAUCUCUUUAUUUUUAAAGUUUAUAUCAGUACAGAGUCCUGGAUUCUUAAUUAAUUUAAUAGGUUAGACUUUAUGCUAAUAUUCUUCAUUUUGAUGCUCAAAUUUUCCAAAAUUUGGCCAGCAGGGUUCCUUAAAGCUGGGUACCUUGCCCUUUCAACAUGUCCCUCUGAUUCUUUAUUUUUAUUUACUUAUUUAUUUAUUUAUUUAUUUAUUUAUUUAUUUAUUUAUUUAGAGACUGAGUCUUGCUCUGUCUCCCAGCCUGGAGUGCAAUGGCACAAUCUUGGCUCACUGCAACCUCUAUCUCCCAGGUUCAAGCAAUUCUCCUCCCUCAGCCUCCCGAGCAACUGGGACUACAGGCAUGUGCAACCAUGCCUGGCUAAUUUUUUUUGUAUUUUUAGUAGAGACAGGCUUUCACCAUGUUGGUCAGGCUGGCCUCGAUCUCCUGACCUCAAAUGAUCCAUCGCCUCGGCCUCCCAAAGUGCUGGGAUUACAGGCGUGAGCUGCCACACCCAGCCGUCCCUCUCAUUCUUUAAGUACUUCCAUGUUUUCUAAGGUACAAGAUGUUCCAUAUUAUUUUGUUAUUUGUCUUCCCCAGCUCUGAAAUCUGCCUUUCCUUCAAGGAGCCUUGGUUCUUUCUAGUGACAAAUUAUAUUUAGAAAGAAGAUCUGGGUAUUUGACUUGUAUAUUGCUAUUAAUUGGCCAUUGUUUCUAGUCUCUUUCAGUAGACAGAGCUAAGAAAUGUAAAAGGAAAUAUUUGAAUGUAUGUAUAUGUGAUAUAUUAAGUACAUUUAAACAUAUUAAAUUCAUGAGUUCAUACUAAUACUUUCAAUAAGCCACAAUUCCCUUUUCAUGUUUUCGAAGGAAAAAUAUCCAUUGUCUAUAUACAGUGGACAUAGAUAGUAAUAAUACUGAUCUUGAAAAGAGCAGUCUUAAAUAGAUCCCAUUAAUAGUUAAAGAUAACAUAUCUUAGAAUUCUAGAUAUUAGAGAGAUUAUCUAGAGCUGUAAUCUAGAUAUUUUAUAGAUCUUUGCUGUGCUGUUUUGAAUUUGUGUUGGAGUAGAACAAUCAGAUGACAAAAGCUCAUCCCACAUGGAAAAAUCAAAGCAUUCAUUACAGAGAGAAUUUUGAAAUAAAUGCAUAUAUAAAAAAUAUAUAUGCAUAUAUAAUGCAUAUGUAUAUGCAUAUAAAAUAUAUAUAUAUAAAAUGAGGGUUAUAAACAAUGAAGGAAAUAGUGAUACUAUCUAUGUGGGAACAAUACUAGUAUCCUCCCUUUGGAUGAAUACAGUAGCUACAGAUGCAAUUCUGGGGACUCUGUUUAGCAAUAGCUUAACUAUUGCUUGGCUACAAGCAUGGAUAACUUGUUCAAAGAUAAUGAGGAGUUGUAAAUAUUUAAAUAAACAGGAUUUGCAACAUAAAAAGCUUUGUGACUAUGUGUCUGAAUUCUUAGAGUUUUCUCCCAGCAAGACCUUGGAUGUGGCAGACUUUUCUGUAAUUGUCCAUCUCGCCCCUAUUUCAUGAAAAGCCAGAGCUUCUCUACUUAGUUUGCUAACCCCAAAUAUAUAAAUUCAAUAGAAGUACUAGCCUGUUUUUACUGGUUUAUUUGCUUUAUCUAAAAAAAACAAGGCAUAGUUUAAAGUCUGUUUUUGAUAGCAUAACAAAACAAAGGUUCUCAUUUUAAUAAUGCAUCACAUAUACACUUGGUAACUAUUGCAUAGUAAUAAUUUAAUAACUUGAGAAAUAUAUUUAUGCAUGUAUGUGUAUAUGUUCAUAUAUAUGUUAUUUUUAAUUCAGAAGUAAAACAAAUAUUGGAAGAGGCCACAGUUAUUAUAAAAAUAAUUUGACCAGUAUUGGACAAUGCAAAUAGCAAUCAUUUAGAAGUUUCUGUACAACAGAUGCCAUAUGUGUUACAUUUUAUUUGAUCAUCAAAAUUGUCAUAGAUAUUAUUAUCCCCAUUUCAUAGAAGAAACUGAGAUUAUAUAAUUUGUUCAACUUGACCAACUUCUUAUAACUAAUACAUAGUAGAGAUAAGGUUGAAACCUCAUUAACCAACUUCUUAUAACUAAUACAUAGUAGAGAUAAGGUUGAAACCUCAUUAGGUUUGACUCCAGACCCCAGCCUCUUUUGAGUGCAUCAUAAAAGGCUUUGGUCUGCCCGUGGCCAGUAACAACUUUUACUAAAUUGAUUCUUUGCUUUUUAUCUGUAAAAGGAAGUUAUUCACCUAUUUUGAUGAUCCCCAAUGUUUUUAACAUCAAUAAAUGUGUCCACCACACAUGAUAGUUUUUAAUGUUUUGUUUCCAUGAUUACAGGAUUAAAAAACUAUUAAUUAGUGAUACUUUUAAUUUUGAUUUUAUUAAUUAAAACACAUCUGUCUACAUCUGAAGAAUAGCACUUGUGACAACAGCAUAGACGGCUUCAUUUUGAGGAGUAAAUUACAAUUGAACAUGACCAAAUAUACAUAGAGAAGGCGUGGACCACACAAAUGUGAUUGAAAGCUGGCGUGGAGUCAUCUUAAAUUGACUUUUUCCCAAAGGGCCCCUAAAAGAGGGUAGAAUCCCAACAGAUAGAGUCUAUGGAGAGAUAGACUGCUGAGACCCAUAUUAUGGUCAGUGAAGUGCAGGCAAGGAAGGGAUCCUUAGCAAAAUGGGGAGAGGAAUGGAUGGUCUGAAAAACCCUGAAGGAACUGAAACACUCUGCAAAGGAAAGAAGAACAAGUAUCAGCUUUGACCCCUGCCAGACCUAGGCAGCAACAACGGCAGCUCACAAAGCACCAGAACAAACGCGCUUUCUUGUGCCCCUACAUGUCUUCCCUUCACCGUCUUGAACCCUGGUGUCAUCAUAAACUGUGUAAGUUAACAACUGAGGAGGGGAAGAAUGAUAAAUUGGGAAAAUAGAAAAGUGUCUGGGCCCUACUUUCAUACCGUAGGCCAGCCUUCUGUAGCAUGGCAGAUUAGGCAAGUGCAGAAGCCUUAAUUUUGAAUGAAAGUUGGAGUUUUUGUUCUGCUCUGGCUGUACCUAUCAGUUUCAAAACUGGAAUAGUUUAAAUGACUAAAGUACUAGGAAGAUUUUAUUACUUAAUAUAACUAUGGAGAACUGACCAAGAUUUUAUCUAGGGGGAGGAGUAUCACCCUACAGAGCAGACUUUAAGGGACAUUAUGAGAGAAAACAGUUACUUAGUGAUUUAAUGUUGCCAAUUCUGUUCUUUAGAAUACCAUCAUGUAUUUAUAUCCCUAUAUAUCACAUAACUAAAAUAUACAUUUAUCUGUACGCGUGUGUAUCAUAUGGAGCACAUUUUCUUUUGCAGGGUUUCUUUGUUUUAAAUGUCUAUUUGGUUAUUUUCUUGAUUGAAUUUCUGUGUAUGCUUUUUUCCUCAAUGCUUUAGCUGUAAGCGAAUAAGUGACAGAGCUCCUUGCUGCUCAAAUUUUAUGCCAGAUAAAAUAUUCACCUUCUCGGACUCCCUGGCACCAGGCAUGGCCAUGUAAUCCUACAGCACAGCUGAUGAAAGAGAAGACAUCUUGCUGCUAUUUGACAAGCAAGAAGAUAAAAGCUUUCCUAUAAAGAUGAUGGAGCAAAAAAAUAGAAGGGGCCUAGACUCCCUACCUUCACACUUCCUGCUAUAAAAGCAUUGCUAUUAUAAGGUUAAUCUGCAGAAACAGACUUCUAUGUCAUAUGCUUAAAUGCAUCAAAAUUCAUACAAUAUCCAUUAAAUUGGUAAAAGUAUCCAUUUUAAAGGAUUAAUCUGAGGGACCCACAGACACUUAACACAAUCAAAUCUCAGAAAAAAAAUCAGUUAUUUCAUUGUGAUUUUGAGGCUGAUCUUUUAUGAUCUUUUAGUUAUCAAACUGUUAAAUACAUUUUAACUUUCAAAUUUUAUGAAUAAAGGAGAUGAAUCCUGUUAUUUUCUCAGUGUGAGUGUGAUGAUGUGUGUCAUAUGUGCCUAUGUAUGCACACACAUGUACUCAAGGAGCCUGAAAGGGACCAUGACUUUCUGGGCACUCAAUGCUACUUAUCUCUAACUCCUCCUUCAAAUGUCCCCAUUCUAAGUCUACUUCCUUAGGGAAUAGGUACAAAUAUAUCCCAU